rnacentral:rRNA from 1 species
UACAGAGGUCUCAAGCGUUGUUCGGAUUCAUUGGGCGUAAAGGGUGCGUAGGCGGCUCGGUAAGCGGGCGGUGAAAGCCCGGGGCUCAACCCGGGUCGGCCGUGCGGACUGCCGUGGCUUGAGCACUGUAGAGGCAGGUAGAAUUCCGGGUGUAGCGGUGGAAUGCGUAGAGAUCCGGAAGAAUACCGGUGGCGAAGGCGGCCUGCUGGGCAGUUGCUGACGCUGAGGCGCGACAGCGUGGGGAG